rnacentral:lncRNA from 1 species
GUCAACAUACCAUGUGGCAGUUGGGACAGAGCGGCCGGAAUCUUCUAGCUUGGAUGGAAGGAUGGAGGAGGGAACAAAAAUAAGGAGCACAGUAGCUGUCCAGCCUGCUAUCCAACUAGAAAUUUCCCGAAACAUGUCAAUGACCUGACGUCUGGCCUCUACAGCAGUGCUUGGCCACCCACUCAGUUACCACUGAUCUAUUCUACCACAUCCCAGGGAAAGGAGCGAGCAGAACCUGUUUUUUACGUUAUUGUUGGACAUAAAAAUAAAAAAACAUUAACAUAAAAGUGAUUUUAAUUUUCAAAAUCUGUUCCAAAGUAUUCCCACGCAUAAUAGGGAGAUAUACAGUAUGUGAAUGUAUACAAAUGUAUGCAAGGUUUGAAAUUAUUCUGUUGUAGUUAAAUGUUUUAUCCUUUUGGGCUUCUUGUGGUCAAUUUGCAGAUGACAAAUUAUUUGUAAUUAUGUUCCGGCCCCCUGACCAUCCGUUCAAGAUAAAAAUCAGCCCGAGGAUGCAUCUAGUUGAUGAUCCCUGCCAUAGGAGAACCAUUUGAAGAACCCUUUGGUUCCAGGUAGAACUCUUUCCACAGAGGGUUCUACCUGGAACCCAAAAGGUUUAUCCUAUGUGGGACAGCCGAAGAACCCUUUUGGAAUCAUUUUUUCUAAGAGUGUAGUGUAAGUGGAUCCAAUGGAAAUAGCACCGUUUCUAAUAAUAUAAGAUUGUAAAGCAAAUCAGAUCCUACUUUAACUCGCCUUUUUUUCCCAGGUGCAAAGCCCUUGUGUCCUGAUUCAACAGACACCUCCCUUGGUGAGUCUUGUUCUCCCAUUUCUCUCUUACUCGUUCUCCC